rnacentral:ncRNA from 1 species
AGACAGCGCUAUCGCGCUUCCUCAGCCCGAACGGCAUCGAAGUAACGACUGGAUAAAACAAGCUUCUUAUCCAUAACUCACG